rnacentral:rRNA from 1 species
UACGGAGGGUGCAAGCGUUAUCCGGAUUCACUGGGUUUAAAGGGUGCGUAGGUGGGCAGGUAAGUCAGUGGUGAAAUCUCCGGGCUUAACCCGGAAACUGCCAUUGAUACUAUAGAUCUUGAAUAUCCUGGAGGUGAGCGGAAUAUGUCAUGUAGCGGUGAAAUGCUUAGAUAUGACAUAGAACACCAAUUGCGAAGGCAGCUCACUACGGGAUUAUUGACACUGAGGCACGAAAGCGUGGGGAUCAAACAGG